rnacentral:lncRNA from 1 species
UUCCUUAUGUUUAAAUCAAUUGUAUUGUGGGAGACAACAAAUAAAUGGUUUUUUCCCAUUUACUUCUUUCCACAGUCUCCUGUCUCUGUAUGUACAGAGACUAGAAUCUUUCUGCAGUUUCUCUAGGGAUGAUAAGAGCAAGGCUUUUUUCCUCUACAAAUAUAUACGACUUUGCUGAAUUAAUAGAAACAUGGAAAAGGAGGACGAGCAGUAAAUGCAACUCACAGGACUGGUUUUGCUCUUUCUCUGUUUUCCUUGUGGAGAGAAAAUUCCUUCAAGAGGCCAAUAUCAAUGUAUCCUGCUGUUGCUUUCAGCUCCAUCAUCUCUACUCAAAGUGUAUUAUUUUGCAAAGCAUAAAGGAAAUAGAGAGCCUGGAUUGUCUUCCUUGGCCAGGCUCUUAA